rnacentral:rRNA from 1 species
GAUGAACGCUGGCGGCGUGCUUAACACAUGCAAGUCGAACGAAGCAUUUGCGACAGAUUUUUUCGGAAUGAAGUUGCUUAUGACUGAGUGGCGGACGGGUGGGUAACGCGUGGGUAACCUGCCUUGUACUGGGGGAUAGCAGCUGGAAACGGCUGGUAAUACCGCAUAAGCGCACAAUGUUGCAUGACAUGGUGUGAAAAACUCCGGUGGUAUAAGAUGGACCCGCGUCUGAUUAGCUAGUUGGUGAGAUAACAGCCCACCAAGGCGACGACAAGUAGCCGACCUGGGAGGUGGACCGGCAAAAUUGGGACUGGGACACGGCCCAGACUCCUACGGAAGGCAGCAUGGGGGAAUAUUGCACAAUGGAGGAAACUCUGAGGCGGCGAGGCGGGGGGAGUGAAGAAGUCAUUCGAUAGGUAAAUCCCUAUCAGCAGGGAGGUUAGGACCGGAACCUGACUAAGAGGCCCGGGCAAAAUACGG